UACGUAGGGGGCAAGCGUUGUUCGGAAUUACUGGGCGUAAAGGGUUUGUAGGUGGCUUGCUAAGUCAGACGUGAAAUCCCUCAGCUUAACUGAGGAACUGCGUCUGAGACUGGCAAGCUUGAGUGCAGGAGAGGAACGCGGAAUUCCAGGUGUAGCGGUGAAAUGCGUAGAUAUCUGGAGGAACACCGGUGGCGAAGGCGGCAUCCUGGACCAACACUGACGCUGAGGAGCGAAAGCCAGGGGAGCAAACGGG
rnacentral:rRNA from 1 species